rnacentral:lncRNA from 10 species
UUCAGUUUAUUUUCUAAUGCUUUAUAUCGGCUCAUACAAGGAGAGUCCACUUCUUCAAUUACAUGUGAAAAGUCCUGGAAGGCAAAUGAGUUAACUAACAGUUACUGACACCUCCUUAUGGGCCAGUUGCUGUGGUAGACCUUGGAAAUACAAAGAUGAUAAAGUCAAAAGUCCUGUUAUGGAAGUCUCAGUAAGUGGGGCACACAGGCAAGAAAUUAAAUGUAGAAAAA